AAAGCUCUUUCGGCAGGGAAGAUAGUGACGGUACCUGCAGAAGCAGCUGCGGCUAACUACGUGCCAGCAGCCGCGGUAAUACGUAGGGUGCGAGCGUUAAUCGGAAUUACUGGGCGUAAAGCGUGCGCAGGCGGUUCGCUGUGUCCGAUGUGAAAGCCCCGGGCUUAACCUGGGAAUGGCAUUGGAAACUGGCGGGCUUGAGUGCGGCAGAGGGGGGUGGAAUUCCGCGUGUAGCAGUGAAAUGCGUAGAGAUGCGGAGGAACACCGAUGGCGAAGGCAGCCCCCUGGGUCGACACUGACGCUCAGGCACGAAAGCGUGGGGAGCAAACAGGAUUAGAUACCCUGGUAGUCCACGCCCUAAACGAUGUCAACUGGGUGUUGGGGAAGCGAUUCCCUAGUACCGUAGCUAACGCGUGAAGUUGACCGCCUGGGGAGUACGGCCGCAAGGUUAAAACUCAAAGGAAUUGACGG
rnacentral:rRNA from 1 species